CCCUUAGAUGUCCUGGGCCGCACGCGCGCUACACUGAUGCAUUCAACGAGUUUUACCUUGGCCGAGAGGCCUGGGCAAUCUUUUAAACCUGCAUCGUGAUAGGGAUAGAUCAUUGCAAUUAUUGAUCUUGAACGAGGAAUUCCUAGUAAACGCGAGUCAUCAGCUCGCAUUGAUUACGUCCCUGCCCUUUGUACACACCGCCCGUCGCACCUACCGAUUGAAUGUUUCGGUGAAGAUUCCGGAUAGGACUUUUUUGAUUUAUUUCAAUUUUGUCUUAAAAGCUAUCUAAACCCCAACAUUUAGAGGAAGGUGAAGUCGUAACA
rnacentral:rRNA from 1 species